rnacentral:rRNA from 1 species
GACGAACGCCGCGGCGUGCUAAUACAUGCAAGUAGAACGCACAGGAUGCACCGUAGUUUACUACACCGUAUUCUCGAGUUGCGAACGGGUGAGUAACGCGUAGGUAACCUGCCUGGCAGCGGGGGAUAACUAUUGGAAACGAUAGCUAAUACCGCAUAAGAACAUUUAAUGCAUGGUAGAUGUUUAAAAGGUGCAAAUGCAUCACUACCAGAUGGACCUGCGUUGUAUAGCUAGUUGGUGAGGUAACGGCUCACCAAGGCAACGAUACAUAGCCGACCUGAGAGGGUGAUCGGCCACACUGGGACUGAGACACGGCCCAGACUCCUACGGGAGGCAGCAGUAGGGAAUCUUCGGCAAUGGGGGGAACCCUGACCGAGCAACGCCGCGUGAGUGAAGAAGGUUUUCGGAUCGUAAAGCUCUGUUGUUAAGGAAGAACGUGUGUGAGAGUGGAAAGUUCACACAGUGACGGUACUUAACCAGAAAGGGACGGCUAACUACGUGCCAGCAGCCGCGGUAAUACGUAGGUCCCGAGCGUUGUCCGGAUUUAUUGGGCGUAAAGCGAGCGCAGGCGGUUAGAUAAGUCUGAAGUGAAAGGCAGUGGCUCAACCAUUGUAGGCUUUGGAAACUGUUUAACUUGAGUGCAGAAGGGGAGAGUGGAAUUCCAUGUGUAGCGGUGAAAUGCGUAGAUAUAUGGAGGAACACCGGUGGCGAAAGCGGCUCUCUGGUCUGUAACUGACGCUGAGGCUCGAAAGCGUGGGGAGCGAACAGG